rnacentral:rRNA from 1 species
UUGGUCCUAAACUUACUGCUACUUUUAAUCAAAUUUACACAUGCAAGCAUCCACACACCAGUGAAAUACGCCCUAACACAGUAUAAAUGGAGCAGGUAUCAGGCACAACUGCCAGCCAAAAACACCAAGCUUUGCCACACCCACACGGGCCAUCAGCAGUGAUAAACAUUAAGCAAUAAGCGAACACACCAAACUAAAGCUUGACUUAGUUAUGAUUAACAGGGCCGGUAAACCUCGUGCCAGCCACCGCGGUUAUACGGUGGGCCCAAAGCAGCAGACCCUCGGCGUAAAUAGUGGCCAGAAUAAUUACCCCCACAUUAAAAACUAAACCAUACCCUAACCGUAAAACACAGGCUAAAUGAAAUCAAGCACUUUUAAUAGCAGGUAAUUUGACCCACGAAAACUAAGAAACAAACUAGGAUUAGAUACCCUACUAUGCUUAGUCGUUAAUAUGAUAUCAUAAUACUAAAAUAUCCGCCAGAAAACUACGAGCGAAAAGCUUAAAACUCAAAGGACUUGGCGGUGCUCCAUACCGACUUAGAGGAGCCUGUCCUAUAAUCGAUACCCCACGCUAAACCUCACCAAUCUUUGCCAAACCAGCCUAUAUACCGC